UUCUUUUCUUCUUUUCUCUUCCUUUCUCCCUGGCCUGCCCUUUCUUUCUUCAAUUCUUUCUUGUUCUUCUUUUCUUUUCUUCUUCACUUUUCUUUCUCCCGGCUUCACCUACCCAGUCAACUCCUCCUUCCCUUUUCUCUCUUUUCCUGGCAAGAUCGGCAUAGUCUCCGGAAUCCCAGAUGAAUAUCUUCGUCGUAUGGUACGACUCUGACCGACCUUAUUUUCCAUAGACUUGAUUUUUUUUUUUUUUUUUUACCCAUUUUCAAAUGGGUCACAUUCUUUCGGUGUUUUUUGAAAUUUUUCCAAAGGAAUCACUUGCUUAUUGAUAAUAGCUAGAGUUUGAUGACUUCGUAAUUCCAAGGGUUGGGGAAUUCCAUUUUGCCAAGUUAAAAUACUGGAGAUUGAUUUUUUAGAGAUAAAUCACUUCUCAUCCUUCACCUUUGGAAUUUCAAUCCUCCACAAAUUUCUCAACCAAUUUCUCAAUUUUUUCCCCAAUCUUACGAGCAAGCUCUAAAUCAAGGAAAAAUUAGGUCUUUGUAACCUAUUUUCACUUUGUGAGAACUUUCCCCAAUUUCUACAGAAACCCAAACCCCCUAAACCUCAAAACUCUCGUUUCGGCACUCUUGUUUGUAUAUGAUGUGUCUUCUCGUUUCGGCGCUCUGUUGUAUACGGUGUGGCUUCACUGUUGCUUACCUUUGAGCCAUCAGUGGAUCUUUCUGUUCUUCAGCAACUGUACAGGGGCGACAACACUCUUGGUUCUCACUUCUCACCAUGCCUACCAGCAGGUUAGUGGGUUAUGAAGGGCUGGAAUUUAAUUCGGAAGGAGGCAUUGAAGAUUUUGAAGAGGAAGCAAAAAGAGGAAGAUGGAAACAGGAGGUACACUACUUUCUGCAUUUUGUUUGUACUGUUUUGUGGAAAAUGGCAGAGGUUUGUGUUAAUUGUUUUUUAACUACAUGUCUGGUCACUCUUUCUCUAUCUCUGAUGCUGUUGAGGAAACUUACAAAUUAUAGAAUGUUUGUUGCAUCUGAUGGAAUACUCCUACCUGUUAGAUCUGGUAGAUGAAUGUGAGGAUCCCCACAUGCGAUUGGUGUAUGCUGGCAGAGUUACUUCGUGUAUCCAUCCCUGUUAGGUAAACUUCAGAUCCAUAUAAAGCGCUUCAUCCACACAGAUCGGGUAAUACUCCAGCUUCGCUGGUGAGCUAGCCCCAAAGAAUUGUUUGCACUCAAAGGGGAUUCGAACUUUAAAGCCCAUGGGACUACCACAAAGACCAAGCACGCAAAUGUUACCAAACUUUAGCUGCGAUUUAAAAAACUGUAUUUUGAUCAAAUGCAUUUUGAAAUCGAUAUUUUUUCAAUUCGAGCGACUUUAAUUUAGUUUGUAAGUUUUCCAUUUCAACAAUUAGGACCUUAGGUUUUUCUUUAGUUUCAAAUAUGACUCUCCACCAACCUAUUGUCUAAUUAAUUAACGGUAUGCCACAUGCGACCAAUCAGUUAAUGCCACGUAACUCUCAUUUGAUAUGUUAUGUACCAACUGUACGUGACACGUUGCAUAAAUACUUUAAAUUACAUAUAUGUCCUAUAUAUAUAAGAUAUUUGUAAUUUAAGUAAUUGUGUCACAUGACACAUAGACUUGUACAUGAUGUGCCAAACAAAAGGCACGUGGCAUUAAAAUGAUUGAUUUGACCUGACAAUUUGUUAUUAAUUGGACGGUAUAAUUGGACAAGAUGACCUAUUUGAAAUCAAAUGAAAACAUAAAGGACCUAAUUAUUAUAACUAAAAACGUAGGGACUAAAUUGAAAUCACAUGAAAACCUAAGAAUUAAAUUUGAAUUUUCUCAAUUUUUUUAAGAGACAUAAAAAGUUUCUUUCCUCUGUAGGGAAAUAUAGGAUUGUAUAGACGGGUAGCUAUUAACUACUAAUCGCUUUAGUAGGUACAUGGCAAAAAUCGCUAAUUGCCUACCUUGUGUGUAUAUAUAUGUGUGUUAUAAUGUGCUUUUAUAAUGCAUAAUUUGUAUAGAAAAUAAUGUCUACUUACUAUACAAAUUUAUUAAUUGAUUAUUUUUCAUCUAAAACACUAAAGCUUAAAAGGAAAAUAUAUAUAUAUAUAUAUAUAUA